rnacentral:rRNA from 1 species
GACGAACGCUGGCGGCGUGCUUAACACAUGCAAGUCGAACGGAAAGGCCCUGCUUUUGUGGGGUGCUCGAGUGGCGAACGGGUGAGUAACACGUGAGUAACCUGCCCUUGACUUUGGGAUAACUUCAGGAAACUGGGGCUAAUACCGGAUAGGAGCUCCUGCUGCAUGGUGGGGGUUGGAAAGUUUCGGCGGUUGGGGAUGGACUCGCGGCUUAUCAGCUUGUUGGUGGGGUAGUGGCUUACCAAGGCUUUGACGGGUAGCCGGCCUGACAGGGUGACCGGCCACAUUGGGACUGAGAUACGGCCCAGACUCCUACGGGAGGCAGCAGUGGGGAAUAUUGCACAAUGGGCGGAAGCCUGAUGCAGCAACUCCGCGUGCGGGAUGACGGCCUUCGGGUUGUAAACCGCUUUCGCCUGUGACGAAGCGUGAGUGACGGUAAUGGGUAAAGAAGCACCGGCUAACUACGUG